GACGAACGCUGGCGGCGUGCUUAACACAUGCAAGUCGAGCGGUAAGGCCCUUUCGGGGGUACACGAGCGGCGAACGAGUGAGUAACACGUGGGUGACCUGCCCUCAGCUCUGGGAUAAGCCUGGGAAACCGGGUCUAAUACCGGAUAUGACUCCAUGACGCAUGUUGUGGGGUGGAAAGCCUUGUGCGGCUGGGGAUGGGCCCGCGGCCUAUCAGCUUGUUGGUGGGGUGAUGGCCUACCAAGGCGA
rnacentral:rRNA from 1 species